rnacentral:sRNA from 12 species
CCUGCUAUUUUCAAACAUGGUUAACUCAGUGCAGAUAGAUUUUUCAGUCUAGCUGAGAUGCAGGGUUAUAUGAGAUAGAGUAGUUCGGGAUACUGGGCUAUCAACUAUCUUUCUGGCAGAAUCGCUCCUGCCAGAGGAGGAAGAAACUUCCAAUACACCUUGUAGUGUAUCAUCAUAAAGAGACCAAAAGCAGAAUCCUUGUGGUCAGUGUAUAAUAGACGCUUGCGGUGCAAGAAUAAUCCGUUGAUGUGAGGGGCGUGAGAGACCACGGACUAGGCGGAAAUCUCAUUAAGCUGAUUUGCCUUGAACCUGAGAAAUCAGGGUAUAACACAAGAGAUUCGUUAGAGUAGCGGUAUGGCAUUUAUUAUAAAAUAAAAUCUUUCGAAUGAUUAUCGAAAAACUUCUGAAAGAACCGUGAAAUUUGUGGGUGACAUUCCCGUUUGUGCUUGACCGCGGUAAGAAGCUCAGGGUCGCUCCCGAAGGCUCAGACUUAUCGUCACAGUGGCUGAAUAUGGUUGCAAGUAUGAUGGAUAAGGGGAAACCCUAAUCAUGUUUGAAUAGUUGA